rnacentral:rRNA from 1 species
GGUUGAUCCUGCCGGAGGCUACUGCUAUCGGGGUCCGAUUAAGCCAUGCGAGUUGAGAGGGGUAAGCCCUCGGCAUAUUGCUCAGUAACACGCGGAUAACCUGCCCUUGGGUUCGGGAUAACCCCGGGAAACUGGGACUAAUACCGGAUAGAUCAAAGAAACUGGAAUGUUCUCUGGUUUAAAACUCCGGUGCCCAAGGAUGGGUCUGCGGCCUAUCAGGUAGUAGUGGGUGUAACGUACCUACUAGCCUACGACGGGUAAGGGUUGUGAGAGCAAGAGCCCUGAGAUGGAUUCUGAGACAUGAAUCCAGGCCCUACGGGGUGCAGCAGGCGCGAAAACUUUACACUGCGGGAAACCGCGAUAAGGGGACCCCGAGUGCCAGCACCUAGUGCUGGCUGUCCAGCUGUCCAAAUAACAGUUGUUAGCAAGGGCCGGGCAAGACCGGUGCCAGCCGCCGCGGUAACACCGGCGGCCCGAGUGGUAGCCGUUAUUAUUGGGUUUAAAGGGUCCGUAGCCGGCCUAUUAAGUCUCUUGGGAAAUCUGGCGACUCAAUCGUCAGUCG